rnacentral:misc_RNA from 1 species
UGUCUGCCAAUGUGAUCAUAAAGGUUGUCUUGUGCUCCAAUGAAUUUGCAGCCUAUAAAUGCUGCUAUGUCUGUCGAUAUUCGGAGCGCGAUUGCCUACUUUCCUAGAGCUCCUGAGGGUGGCGAUGGGGCCUUGUUCUGUAGUGAUCCACUUGAAAUUGUAUAAAAACUAGCUACUCCAAUAAGCUUGAAACAGAUAGUAGUUAUCAAGGUAAUAUGUAUAAGGAGUUUACAUAGAAAGAAGCUAACAAAAUGAUCAUAAUAUAAAACAAGAUGAUAUAGCAGAUAAGAUAAAUAUUAUGAGGCUGACCAUGAAGGUGAUGUUCUUUGCAAUGAAAUAAGGAGAAUUGAUGGCAAAUGUUGCAGAGCCAUAGGUACCCAAUGGAUGUCCUGAAUUAAUGGCAAAUGUUGCCGACCCAUAGGUACCAAAUGGAGGUCCUCCCUGUCCCAUUUUAUCUUCUGUGUCAUCCCACUUAUGAUUGUCUUGUUUGCACCAGCACCUCACCUUCGAGAAUCCAGGGUAACGUAAGCCGUGCUUGCCGGAAUCGCGACAUUCUCCCUGAAUUUUCCAUCCACUCCAAUAUCAAGAUGCAUUUACUCCACUAGACACGACACAAAUAUAACGUUAGGUAUAAGACCUCUGGGCAAUGAAGUGUUACCCGUAAGUUCCUGCGCUCAUGGAGAUAGCCACCCUGCAGUUAUUGACAACUGGCAUGGAAUUGAUAGCUUUUUGCGCUGUAAUAAAAUCUCCUGAGCUUGAUUUUUUUUGUUCACUUUUAUUGUUAAACAAGGGUUGAACCUUUUUUUGGCUUUCUGGAAGAGAGCAUGCUUGAAAGAAUACAUUUGUUUUGCUUUUAGUCAUUUAGGUAAGCUUCUUCAGAUGCCACUGCCAGAAACCUUUUAGAAUUAGACCCAUUUGGAGUAAACAAUGAA